AGUAAUGAAUGGUAUUUUACCCCAAUUAAAUCCAGAGUAUCUUUAAGAAUGACCACUGUGCAUGAAUAUGACACGUAUAACAUUGAGCAAUUACACUGCCAGCUCUUAGCAGUGUGAAAAAGAUUGUUUUGAAUGGGAUUGGAUCAACACAACUCAAUCCCCUCUGGUUUGCUAAACUAAAAAGAACGUGUUGUUUCAGAUCUGUUCAGCAGUUGUCUGUGUUGUCCUGUAGUGUCAUGGUACCUAACACCGUGGUGACCAAGAUCUGUACACAAUCAUCUCCUUAGCUGGGUUACAUUUCAAAGGAUGCAGCGGGGUGUCCUGUUUAGGGUGAACCUGGGGAUUCAUGUUGUGAGUAUUACACACUCAGAGCUUUCACUCCAUGAAGCUAUUCCUGGGAACGGAACGGUAUGAGUUUAAGCAUCUAUACAGAGCACCAUGGCAGAGUGUAUCAAAAUGACUACUGGAGAGGUGGCUGGGCAGAGGAGGUUGCAGUGAGUGACUCAGCUAAGAAAAGCCAAUAUCAACAUUUAUCUGAAGCUUCAAUAUGGUUGAUGCAGAGGGAUGUGUAACUCUGGAGAUCAGUUUACCCCAUGUAAGAUGACUCACUUUCUGGAAUAGUUUCUCUCAGCUUAAUAAUGCAUUUUAGAUGUCUAGUUAUG